rnacentral:rRNA from 1 species
UACGGAGGAUCCAAGCGUUAUCCGGAUUUAUUGGGUUUAAAGGGUGCGUAGGCGGCUUAUUAAGUCAGGGGUGAAAGACGGUGGCUCGACCAUCGCAGUGCCCUUGAUACUGAUGAGCUUGAAUACACUUGAGGUAGGCGGAAUGUGACAAGUAGCGGUGAAAUGCAUAGAUAUGUCACAGAACACCAAUUGCGAAGGCAGCUUACUAAGGUGCAAUUGACGCUGAGGCACGAAAGCGUGGGGAUCAAACAGG